rnacentral:lncRNA from 1 species
GUUUGUGUAAGCAUGCGGGCAGUACAAAGUGUUUUCAUAUGCACCAGAAUCUCAAGGGAAUACCCAACAGGGCUCCAUGUGUAAAGAGCAGACACUAAAACAUAUGGACUUAUUCUUUGCUCAUGUAAUUCUACUCCUUGUGCUUUGAAGGCAUGCAGGGCAGGACUGUUGAGCCAGGGGAGGAGAGGUGCCUGCUGCUGGAGAGGGUGUCUGUGGGCUGUGAGAUGUGGAGUCAUAUGAAACAAGGCUAUCUGAAGACAGAAAGUGACUCACAGUGGAAAGUUUCCAAAAGAAGGAAGGAGUGGGUGUCAGCUCAACAAAAGAAAAGUCAAA